GAUGAACGCUGGCGGCGUGCCUAAUACAUCCAAGUCGAGCGAACAGAUAAGGAGCUUGCUCCUUUGACGUUAGCGGCGGACGGGUGAGUAACACGUGGGUAACCUACCUAUAAGACUGGGAUAACUUCGGGAAACCGGAGCUAAUACCGGAUAAUAUUUCGAACCGCAUGGUUCGAUAGUGAAAGAUGGUUUUGCUAUCACUUAUAGAUGGACCCGCGCCGUAUUAGCUAGUUGGUAAGGUAACGGCUUACCAAGGCGACGAUACGUAGCCGACCUGAGAGGGUGAUCGGCCACACUGGAACUGAGACACGGUCCAGACUCCUACGGGAGGCAGCAGUAGGGAAUCUUCCGCAAUGGGCGAAAGCCUGACGGAGCAACGCCGCGUGAGUGAUGAAGGUCUUCGGAUCGUAAAACUCUGUUAUUAGGGAAGAACAUACGUGUAAGUAACUGUGCACGUCUUGACGGUACCUAAUCAGAAAGCCACGGCUAACUACGUG
rnacentral:rRNA from 1 species